rnacentral:rRNA from 1 species
GGUGAAAAGCACCCCGGAAGGGGAGUGAAAUAGAACCUGAAACCGUGUGCUUACAAGUAGUCAGAGCCCGUUAAUGGGUGAUGGCGUGCCUUUUGUAGAAUGAACCGGCGAGUUACGAUUUGAUGCAAGGUUAAGCAGUAAAUGUGGAGCCGUAGCGAAAGCGAGUCUGAAUAGGGCGUUUAGUAUUUGGUCGUAGACCCGAAACCAGGUGAUCUACCCUUGGUCAGGUUGAAGUUCAGGUAACACUGAAUGGAGGACCGAACCGACUUACGUUGAAAAGUGAGCGGAUGAACUGAGGGUAGCGGAGAAAUUCCAAUCGAACCUGGAGAUAGCUGGUUCUCUCCGAAAUAGCUUUAGGGCUAGCCUCAAGUGAUGAUUAUUGGAGGUAGAGCACUGUUUGGACGAGGGGCCCCUCUCGGGUUACCGAAUUCAGACAAACUCCGAAUGCCAAUUAAUUUAACUUGGGAGUCAGAACAUGGGUGAUAAGGUCCGUGUUCGAAAGGGAAACAGCCCAGACCACCAGCUAAGGUCCCAAAAUAUAUGUUAAGUGGAAAAGGAUGUGGCGUUGCCCAGACAACUAGGAUGUUGGCUUAGAAGCAGCCAUCAUUUAAAGAGUGCGUAAUAGCUCACUAGUCGAGUGACACUGCGCCGAAAAUGUACCGGGGCUAAACAUAUUACCGAAGCUGUGGAUUGUCCUUUGGACAAUGGUAGGAGAGCGUUCUAAGGGCGUUGAAGCAUGAUCGUAAGGACAUGUGGAGCGCUUAGAAGUGAGAAUGCCGGUGUGAGUAGCGAAAGACGGGUGAGAAUCCCGUCCACCGAUUGACUAAGGUUUCCAGAGGAAGGCUCGUCCGCUCUGGGUUAGUCGGGUCCUAAGCUGAGGCCGACAGGCGUAGGCGAUGGAUAACAGGUUGAUAUUCCUGUACCACCUAUAAUCGUUUUAAUCGAUGGGGGGACGCAGUAGGAUAGGCGAAGCGUGCGAUUGGAUUGCACGUCUAAGCAGUAAGGCUGAGUAUUAGGCAAAUCCGGUACUCAUUAAGGCUGAGCUGUGAUGGGGAGAAGACAUUGUGUCUUCGAGUCGUUGAUUUCACACUGCCGAGAAAAGCCUCUAGAUAGAAAAUAGGUGCCCGUACCGCAAACCGACACAGGUAGUCAAGAUGAGAAUUCUAAGGUGAGCGAGCGAACUCUCGUUAAGGAACUCGGCAAAAUGACCCCGUAACUUCGGGAGAAGGGGUGCUCUUUAGGGUUAACGCCCAGAAGAGCCGCAGUGAAUAGGCCCAAGCGACUGUUUAUCAAAAACACAGGUCUCUGCUAAACCGUAAGGUGAUGUAUAGGGGCUGACGCCUGCCCGGUGCUGGAAGGUUAAGAGGAGUGGUUAGCUUCUGCGAAGCUACGAAUCGAAGCCCCAGUAAACGGCGGCCGUAACUAUAACGGUCCUAAGGUAGCGAAAUUCCUUGUCGGGUAAGUUCCGACCCGCACGAAAGGCGUAACGAUUUGGGCACUGUCUCAACGAGAGACUCGGUGAAAUCAUAGUACCUGUGAAGAUGCAGGUUACCCGCGACAGGACGGAAAGACCCCGUGGAGCUUUACUGUAGCCUGAUAUUGAAAUUCGGCACAGCUUGUACAGGAUAGGUAGGAGCCUUUGAAACGUGAGCGCUAGCUUACGUGGAGGCGCUGGUGGGAUACUACCCUAGCUGUGUUGGCUUUCUAACCCGCACCACUUAUCGUGGUGGGAGACAGUGUCAGGCGGGCAGUUUGACUGGGGCGGUCGCCUCCUAAAAGGUAACGGAGGCGCUCAAAGGUUCCCUCAGAAUGGUUGGAAAUCAUUCAUAGAGUGUAAAGGCAUAAGGGAGCUUGACUGCGAGACCUACAAGUCGAGCAGGGUCGAAAGACGGACUUAGUGAUCCGGUGGUUCCGCAUGGAAGGGCCAUCGCUCAACGGAUAAAAGCUACCCCGGGGAUAACAGGCUUAUCUCCCCCAAGAGUUCACAUCGACGGGGAGGUUUGGCACCUCGAUGUCGGCUCAUCGCAUCCUGGGGCUGUAGUCGGUCCCAAGGGUUGGGCUGUUCGCCCAUUAAAGCGGUACGCGAGCUGGGUUCAGAACGUCGUGAGACAGUUCGGUCCCUAUCCGUCGUGGGCGUAGGAAAUUUGAGAGGAGCUGUCCUUAGUACGAGAGGACCGGGAUGGACAUACCUCUGGUGUACCAGUUGUCGUGCCAACGGCAUAGCUGGGUAGCUAUGUGUGGACGGGAUAAGUGCUGAAAGCAUCUAAGCAUGAAGCCCCCCUCAAGAUGAGAUUUCCCAACUUCGGUUAUAAGAUCCCUCAAAGAUGAUGAGGUUAAUAGGUUCGAGGUGGAAGCAUG